UGGUAAAACACUUCCUCAUCUGCUCCAGAGGCGGCGAGGGUGACUUCAGGCUUAUGAAAUUGCUGGAGAAAUUAUUCAGUUCCCUGAACUAGCCACCGCGAGGACAUUUCAUCCUGCCCUGGAUUGAGAUUGUAGUAAAACCAUGAAGCCCGCCAGACCAAUCAGCCCAUCUGCUAACCGUAAAAGUGGACAGGAUACUAGGCAGAACAUCAUCUUACUGAAAAGUUGAAGAAGGACAAAUCAAAUGUACAGUCUAGGAACUUGAAUCCUUCAUGACAGAGGUGUGAAGUUUAAGCAUGGGGCCUGCUCUCUAGCAAAAGCAAUGGUUCUCUUGUGAAAUGAUUAAACCUGAAUGCUGUCAUUAGUCUUCAUUAAUGAAGUCUGUUCAAUUAAAGUAUAAAAUAAAGCAUAUUUAAAUUUUGAAUACCUA